CUGAGUUCAGUCUGAAAGAUCAGUUUGAAGCGUCAUUCAGCUGGAUUUUCUGCAGCACAAAUAACCUUCCCAGAAUGCAAGACGCCAAGAAUCUCAUGGACUUAUUGAUCUUACACACCAGUUUUGCAUAUAUUUGCAUAUUGAUGAGCAAGCAACCAAUCAGAGAAGCCAAUUAAAUAAAAAAAAUUAAAAUGAGUCUUUAUAAGGCUUGUGAUGUGAACGCUGUUCUCGACGACGGUGAAGACGAGAAAAAACACUAAUAAACAGAUCAGCGGGAGGGGAGCCGCGGCGGUGGCGGUAGAGUAAAUUUGGGCCGAUGCCCCGCCCUUCAGUGUUUAAGAGGCGGUUUCUCAGCCUCACCCAUAGUAGGCAGGAUUUGAGACGAGCCAGUAUUGGUUCAGCCCACCAUCUCAAGCACAGCGCCAUGGAAACGACGCAACCUGAGCGGCCCAAGUUUAUACAAAUAAAAGGCACUAUGAACAA